GCCCGGGUGGCGGAAUUGGUAGACGCGCUGGUCUCAAACACCUGUGACUGUAAGGUCGUGCCGGUUCGACUCCGGCCCCGGGUA
rnacentral:tRNA from 1 species